rnacentral:rRNA from 1 species
GCUGGAAACAGUCCUUCCCCUUUGGGGCCGGUUCACAGGUGGUGCAUGGUUGUCGUCAGCUCGUGUCGUGAGAUGUUGGGUUAAGUCCCGCAACGAGCGCAACCCUCGUUCCAUGUUGCCAGCGCGUAAUGCCGGGGACUCAUGGGAGACUGCCGGGGUCAACUCGGAGGAAGGUGGGGACGACGUCAAAUCAUCAUGCCCCUUAUGUCUUGGGCUUCACGCAUGCUACAAUGGCCGGUACAAUGGGUUGCGAUACUGUGAGGUGGAGCUAAUCCCAAAAAGCCGGUCUCAGUUCGGAUUGGGGUCUGCAACUCGACCCCAUGAAGUCGGAGUCGCUAGUAAUCGCAGAUCAGCAACGCUGCGGUGAAUACGUUCCCGGGUCUUGCACACACCGCCCGU